UUUAUCAGCCUUCGUGAUAUUUGUAACCACACCAGUUUUUUACUUUCAAAAUUGAGUUUUUUUUUCUUCUUUGUAUUAUAAUUGGGAUAAAUGGCCAACAAGAGGUCAGUCAAGUGUGUUAGAUGAAGUACAGUGUUGUUCCAGGUUCCAUUUCCCUUAGUGCGUACGUGCAUGUUCUUCCCUGUCCCUCACCCAGUGAAGUGAGGGUCGCCUGUUUGGUCAGUUCCAUUUGAUGUUCUGUCCACUGUUAACAGCAGUGGUCGGGAGCUCCAUUAAAGAAGUCAGAUGGGGAUCAAGCAGCGAGCGCUUCUCUGCCAGCACCUUCUCGGACCCUGGACUCCCACGGAGCUGCGGCUUCAUCCAAGGUGGGAUCCAGGGUUUUUGGGUCGAGUGGAGCGUCAAGUAGUGAAGGUUCAGGACCAGGGAUGGUGUUUCCUCAGUUUUCCAAGCCAGCACUUGGGGACUGUUAGGACCUUCAAGUAUGCAGCCCAGCUCUGCUCUCCAAGUGAGAACAACGCCUCCAGGCAAAGGAACUUUCCUGACUCCCCAGUGUGGUGAGCAGAGCUUCGAUGGGAACUGACUACCGAGAAGAAAGGCUGUCAGCGUGUCUGGUGGAGGUACGGGUGUGUAUGUGAUCCUCCCCCCAUCGGGCAGUCGUUAGCAAAGGUGGGGGUCAAGAUGCUACAGGUGAGC